UUUUAAUUAUUUUCUAAUACUUUAGGCAUCGGGUAUUCUUGACACCGAGGUAGUAUGCCUCUAUUACCUCAGGUAAAUCUGGAACCGAGGUAGUAUAGCGUUUUAUAACCUCUGAAAUCUCUUUGAUUUCAUGAUACCCUUCUUACUGUUCCUCUUCUUCUCGCUCGCUCAAAUCUCUUUGCUUUCACUGUUCUCCAAUCACCCUAAAAUAACGUCGUCGCUCCGUGGCCACCACUCCGCCGCUCUAUGGCCAUCACUCCGCCGCUCCGUCGCCACCACUCACGCUGCGUCGUCCCCCACUUCUCGCGCAACCGCUUCGCUGCCUCGCCGUCACGCUUCCUCCUCAUCGUCGCUGGCGUGCUGCCUCGAGGCCAUUGCCGUCGCGCUCCCUUGUAGCACCUCCGCCUCCGUCGUCGCACCUCCACCUCGGUCGUCGCGCCUCCGCCUCCGUCGUCGCAACCUAAAACCUAGACGAAGGGAAGGUUCUGCAGUACAAGAGCAAGAGAGAGGAAUAGCGAGACGUUUUGGGAAAGAAGGAGAAGAAGACACAGACGGAGGAGAACCUUGAGCAGUGGAUGCGGAGAGUGAGAAUUGAGAUAUUCGAAGAGUUUUCGUGUUAAGAGAUCGCCGAAAAGACUUCAGAUUAAGGUUUUGUGGAAGGUGAAAGAAGUGUACGUAAAGUAUUGAGUAAGUAAGCAUUUUUCACUCUCAAUCUCAGUGGCUUAAUUGCAAAAUUGGAUGGGGCAGUAAAAGAGGUUCUUUGAAGAAAUUGUAUAUGAGCAUUCAUGCCAGAAACAUUUACCUGUUCCAUGCAAUCAAGGACACGAAUCUUCAGGACACAUUACCAUGUGGCCAACCUUCUUCCUACAAAAAUCACCCAGAAUAUCUCCAGAAGGCCAAGGUUGUUGGUAAGGUUCAUGGAUACCUUCUUCUAGUUGGGAAAGUCACGUGAUAAUUAACGUUGUAUAAGAAUGAUAUUUCUUUGUAUGUUAAGGUUGCUGCAUGUUUGAGAUUGCUGGACAUCAACCUGCAUUUCGUGCAAGAACUUUUUGCAGGAAUUUAGUUUUAUCAAUGGAAACAUAGUCUCUAUUCUUC